UACGUAGGGGGGCUAGCGUUGUCCGGAUUUAUUGGGCGUAAAGAGCGUGUAGGCGGCCAGAUAGGUCUGCUGUGAAAACUCGAGGCUCAACCUCGAGAUGUCGAUGGAAACCGUCUGGCUAGAGUCCGGAAGAGGAGUGUGGAAUUCCUGGUGUAGCGGUGAAAUGCGCAGAUAUCAGGAAGAACACCUAUGGCGAAGGCAGCACUCUGGGACGGUACUGACGCUGAGACGCGAAAGCGUGGGGAGCGAACAGG
rnacentral:rRNA from 1 species